rnacentral:rRNA from 1 species
AACGAACGCUGGCGGCAUGCCUAACACAUGCAAGUCGAACGAGACCUUCGGGUCUAGUGGCGCACGGGUGCGUAACGCGUGGGAACCUGCCCUUAGGUUCGGAAUAACUCCCCGACAGGGGUGCUAAUACCGGAUAAUGUCUUCGGACCAAAGAUUUAUCGCCUUUGGAUGGGCCCGCGUUGGAUUAGCUAGUUGGUAGGGUAAAAGCCUACCAAGGCGACGAUCCAUAGCUGGUCUGAGAGGAUGAUCAGCCACACUGGGACUGAGACACGGCCCAGACUCCUACGGGAGGCGGCAGUGGGGAAUAUUGGACAAUGGGCGAAAGCCUGAACCAGCAAGGCCGCGUGAGUGAUGAAGGCCUGAGGGUUGUAAAGCUCUUUUACCCGGGAUGAUAAUGACAGUACCGGGAGAAUAAGCUCCGGCUAACUCCGUG